AAAUACUUCAAGAUCUGUUCAAAGACUUGAAAAUGUUUCAUUUAUGUAAAUAAAUCAAAAAUGCAUAUACAUUCAUUCUUUUUUCAUAAACUUUAAUAAAGCCCAAUAUAGUAAUUAUGCAAAAACUAUCAUCUCCGAAAUACCAUUACGUUUUUAUCUUAUUUUAAUAUAUUGACAACAUAUUUCUCAAGUUAUCACGCAUUACUGAAAAAGUGAAGAAGGGACACUAUAUUUGUUAUCUAUUUUCAUGUUGUGCGUAUAAUAAUUUACUUGAAAAGAGACACGUCCAUUGUUUAACUGCAUCAUCUACACAAACCAUUGUGCUUGGACCCCUUAUGAUCACCUGGACUUAAACCACAUUGUUUCAGUUACCUUCUGUGUCUUUGGCCACAACGCUUCAUUGACAGGAAUGUGAAAUAGCAAACAGGGUAACAAAUAAAAGGCAUGACUUUAUUUGCAUCCAGCUAGCCAACUCUAUUAUAGGUGUUCCACAGCCAAGACUCUUAUUAGAAUAGAAAAUAGCAAGGGUUCGAAUAAAUAGUUUAUUAAUCAUUUAAUUUCACUUUCUUAAUGAAUAUUGUUCUGUGUAUGUGAUUUCAAAGUCUUGAUGCUUCGGAUUAACCCGUUAAUUGCCGUAUCCCUUAAAACCUGAGUGCCAGAGGAUUACUGUAAAUGCAUGUGCCCGCUGGGCACAGUUUACCUGAUGCCACCGGGGUGGCGUUUGCGCUGAUGGCUUGAGCCCGCCAUCGCUGCUUGCAGCUAUAUUUAGGGCCCGAGCACCGAUGGUGUGAGGACCCUAUUGGAAUUGCUUCGUUUAUUAGGGCCCGAGCACCGAUGGUGUGAGGACCCUCUUGUAUCUGCUUCGUUUAUUAUUAUUAUUCUUCUUCUUCUUCUUCUUCUUCUUCUUCUUCUUCUUCUUCUCCAAAAUGAAUCGCAUUUUUGAGGGCCUAAACAUGCUCGAAAAGUCCUGAAACUUUGCACACGCGUCAGACCUGGUGAAAAUUUACGGAUGAUAUAGGUUUCAGAAGAGGGUGUGGCAAAAUGGCUCGACAGCGCCACCUAUCGUAAAAAAAUCAACAGCCC
ensembl:lncRNA